AGGACUGUCGAGAUUUUGUAAGGACCUUCCCAAUUGGGAGACAGCUUCUCUUAUUCAGUGGGCUUAGAGAUUUCUGCUCUUCUGAAAAUUAAGUCUCAUAUUCAGAAGAUUUUUGGUUUGACUCGGGAGUUGUAAUACCGAGCUAUCCUUUGUUGGUAGAAGGUCAUUCUCAAUCGAGCUCAUUUUUAGAUUCCUUCGAGCAAAUUCAAGUUUGCUCGUCUCUUAUCCAAAGUGGUUGAUUCAUUGUAGUGUUCCAUUCAAGUUGAAGGUAAGUCGAUUUCAACUGAAAUUAUAGCUUCAGUUUCGAACACCAACUUAAAUAGAGUCUCUCCAAUCGAGAUCUGAGGAGUUAUUCGAUAAGAUCAUAGGACACUGU
rnacentral:lncRNA from 1 species